UACGGAGGGUGCGAGCGUUGUCCGGAAUCACUGGGCGUAAAGGACGCGUAGGCGGCGCGGGUAGUCAUCGGUGAAAGUUCAGGGCUCAACUCUGAAUCGGCCGGUGAUACUCCCGUGCUCGAGCACUGUAGAGGCAGGUGGAAUUCCGGGUGUAGCGGUGGAAUGCGUAGAGAUCCGGAAGAACACCGGUGGCGAAGGCGGCCUGCUGGGCAGUAGCUGACGCUGAUGCGCGACAGCGUGGGGAGCAAACAGG
rnacentral:rRNA from 1 species